CCCGGCCCGGCCCGGCCCGGCCCCGCCGAGCGAUGCUGCUGCUGGCCGCCGCCUUCCUCGUGGCGUUCGUGCUGCUGCUCUACAUGGUGUCACCGCUCAUCAGCCCCAAGCCCCUCGCCCUGCCCGGGGCGCAUGUAGUGGUUACAGGGGGCUCCAGUGGUAUUGGAAAGUGUAUCGCUAUCGAGUGCUAUAAGCAAGGAGCGUUCAUAACUCUGGUGGCACGGAAUGAGGACAAGCUGCUGCAGGCAAAGAAAGAAAUUGAAAAGCACUCUAUUAAUGAUAAACAGGUGGUGCUUUGUAUAUCCGUUGACGUUUCUCAAGACUACAGCCAAGUAGAGAACGUCAUAAAACAAGCACAGGAGAAACUGGGCCCAGUAGACAUGCUUGUGAACUGUGCAGGAAUGUCACUUUCAGGAAAAUUUGAAGAUCUUGAAGUUAGUACUUUUGAGCGACUCAUGAGCGUCAACUACCUAGGCAGCGUGUACCCCAGCCGCGCCGUGAUCACCACCAUGAAGGAGCGCCGCGUGGGCAGGAUCGUCUUUGUCUCCUCCCAGGCGGGACAGCUGGGGUUAUUCGGCUUCACGGCCUACUCGUCCUCCAAGUUUGCCAUCAGGGGAUUGGCUGAAGCUUUGCAGAUGGAGGUGAAGCCAUACAACGUCUAUGUCACAGUUGCCUACCCGCCAGACACAGACACCCCUGGGUUUGCAGAAGAAAACAAAACCAAGCCUUUGGAGACUCGCCUGAUUUCAGAGACCGUAUCUGUUUGUAAACCGGAGCAAGUGGCCAAACAAAUUGUUAAAGACGCCAUACAAGGGAAUUUUAACAGUUCCAUUGGCUCCGACGGGUACAUGCUGUCGUCCCUGACCUGUGGAAUGGCUCCCGUAACUUCUAUCACUGAAGGGCUCCAGCAGGUGGUCACCAUGGGCCUGUUCCGCACCAUCGCGCUGUUUUACCUGGGAAGCUUCGACAGCAUCGUGCGUCGCUGCAUGAUGCAGAGAGCAAAAUCGGAAAUUGCAGACAAAACUGCCUAAUCCGUGCCCCUGGGGAAAAGACUGUUUCUAAAUAACUGAACAGCUUGCUGCUAAAAGGGACCCAGUUUUUGGCCUACAGACACCCAUGAGGACGCGGAGCUCACCCAUCCCAUUAGAGUGUCUUGUCAUUCUUCCCAUCUCUCCUGUUUUCCUGAUACUGCUAUAAUAUUUUUAUAUAUAAAAAAAAGACUAGUUAAAAUUUUUUGACUUGACUUUUUAAAUUAACUCAUGAAUUAAUUAAAACAGGUGAAAAAAAUUAAAAAGCGUGACAUUCUUCUGGUAGCAUAUAUGUAGCUUUUACGAAAGGCUGAUGAUCGUAUAUUUACAUUUUCCUCGUUAAGAGAAAGAAGAUAGGACAAAGCUGAUUUUGAAGAUACUCAUUUUUGAAAGAAAAUGAUCACCCAUUCUUUCUGUGACUCCCAUUUAAUCGGAGAACCUUCUCUGCACACCACGUUAAGGAAGCCCAGUCAUCACUCCCGCAACAUAAGCCCUGGGAUCCUCUCGGCCCCGUGAAUGUUGUUUUCACAUCACAGGCUCUGUUGCUCAGUUAGUGGAUUUCCACAAUAAGUGCCUCUCAUGGGUUUUGGCCAACAUUCCCUACUUCAUCCUGUCACUGUGUGCGCUCCCUACUUUGGGACAGUCCCCUUCAUCGUAAUGCUACGCCCCCUCCUUCCUGCACACACAGUAUGCAUAUACUGUGCAUACAAAAGAUUAAAGGCCUAAAAAUUACAGCAAACCUUCUUUUGCUCUUGAGUUUUUGAACCUCUUGACUUUAAGAUGACUUAAUUUUUUUAAAGUGAGAUAUUUAAUGGCUUUAAUCCUUGGCAUCCUUUUAAUGAGGAUCUGAGAAUGGCAUAUUUUAACACUGACCAAGAUGGAAGAAAUUAUUUAAUAUAGAAGUUGCUUGGUUAUGACUUCAUUGCAGUUUGUGGGGGUGGGUGGAUGCCCUCACAGUUUCAUGAAUCUCUCUGUCUUCUGUAGCCAUCGUUUGCAAACUACAUUAGGUCAUACCUCGCAGCCUCUUAAGAUAGAAUAAUGGCUCUAUUUCCCUAAUUUGCGGAAAACAGUUACACAUUAAUGUCUGGCUAUUUUUCACUUUUAUUUUUCCUGGUGAAUAUUCCUUGUUGGCACCUCCAACUGCUGGUCCAGAUGAAAAUCUAGCCCAAGAUGGUGUCUCGUUUAGUACGAUUAUUGGACCACAAUUACUUCC